rnacentral:rRNA from 1 species
AACGCUAGCUACAGGCUUAACACAUGCAAGUCGCGGGGUAACGAGAGGGAAGCUUGCUUUCCUUGUCGACGACCGGCGCACGGGUGAGUAACGCGUAUGCAACCUACCUAUCAGAGGGGAAUAACCCGGCGAAAGUCGGACUAAUACCGCAUAAAACAGGGACACCGCAUGGUGAUAUUUGUUAAAGAAAUUCGCUGAUAGAUGGGCAUGCGUUCCAUUAGGUAGUUGGUGAGGUAACGGCUCACCAAGCCGACGAUGGAUAGGGGAACUGAGAGGUUGGUCCCCCACACUGGUACUGAGACACGGACCAGACUCCUACGGGAGGCAGCAGUGAGGAAUAUUGGUCAAUGGGCGAGAGCCUGAACCAGCCAAGUCGCGUGAAGGAAGAAGGAUCUAUGGUUCGUAAACUUCUUUUGCAGGGGAAUAAAGUGCAGGACGUGUGGUUAUUUGUAGGUACUGUAUGAAUAAGGACCGGCUAAUUCCGUGCCAGCAGCCGCGGUAAUACGGAAGGUCCAGGCGUUAUCCGGAUUUAUUGGGUUUAAAGGGAGCGUAGGCCGUCUGUUAAGCGUGUUGUGAAAUGUAGAUGCUCAACAUCUGAAUUGCAGCGCGAACUGGCAGACUUGAGUGUGCGCAACGUAGGCGGAAUUCGUGGUGUAGCGGUGAAAUGCAUAGAUAUCACGAAGAACUCCGAUUG